rnacentral:piRNA from 1 species
UGGAUGCUAAUGCACAGUCACAUAAAC